rnacentral:rRNA from 1 species
GACGAACGCUGGCGGCGUGCCUAAUACAUGCAAGUUGAGCGAUGAAGAUUGGUGCUUGCACCAAUUUGAAGAGCAGCGAACGGGUGAGUAACGCGUGGGGAAUCUGCCUUUGAGCGGGGGACAACAUUUGGAAACGAAUGCUAAUACCGCAUAACAACUUUAAACAUAAGUUUUAAGUUUGAAAGAUGCAAUUGCAUCACUCAAAGAUGAUCCCGCGUUGUAUUAGCUAGUUGGUGAGGUAAAGGCUCACCAAGGCGAUGAUACAUAGCCGACCUGAGAGGGUGAUCGGCCACAUUGGGACUGAGACACGGCACAAACUCCUACGGGAGGCAGCAGUAGGGAAUCGUCGGCAAUGGACGAAAGUCUGACCGAGCAACGCCGCGUGAGUGAAGAAGGUUUUCGGAUCGUAAAACUCUGUUGGUAGAGAAGAACGUUGGUGAGAGUGGAAAGCUCAUCAAGUGACGGUAACUACCCAGAAAGGGACGGCUAACUACGUG